GCUCUUCCCAUCUAAGGGAAACAUUUUAGAACAUUGGUACUGGGCUCAGAAUAACGGGAAAUGUGCAGUGGGACCAUCUAUUUCAAUAACUGUAUGACCGAGUCAGGAAAUCGAAAGCUUACAGGACUGAAAAGUGAGAUAAAGAAGAGAGGGAGAUUCAUAGAUAUUAUUCCUUGAGCCUGUAGCAUCCCAUUUGCUAUAGACAAACCUUGAAAGGAGAGUUGGAAAGCUUUUGUGAACUCAGGAAUGCGUGUGUUGUUUGUACUACAAACCCAACCUCAUCAUCUUAAUCUUGCCUGGAAGAGAUGACUAAAAGUAUGGGUUGUAUCUGUGGAAUUAAAAUCUAUAAAGGCAGCGAGCUUUGUUUUUCAAAUGGAGUUCUUGUUUGUUUUCUUGACCCUUCCGGAAAAUAGCGGAGGGAGAGGAGAGAGAAAGGGGAUAGCCGUAUGCAGAAGAAAGCUGGUGAACUAUCCUGUUCUCCUGAGCCCUGAUGUUGAACUGUGCCUACACUAUGAGAUCCCUCUGGUACCAGAUGCAGUGCCUUUCACGUUUGGAAUCCACGCACAGAGGAAGGAUUCACGAAGAAACAGUCAGCAUCAGGAAAGCCUUUGCUCUCUGCUCUUGCUCUGUGCCGUCAGUUAUUUUUGUCUGGGGGCUUUACAGAGAUGUAACUCCUUCAGUCAUCCAAGUGUGAUGUAGUAAAAGUCAUUUGCAGGAAGUGAAACUCCACUUUGGUACUUUCUUUUCACUCAAAGGCUAAUGUGAUUAGCUCUGAAACAUUUGUUCAUCUUUUUACUCAGUAUUUGAACUAUGCCUAUGGAAGACAUAUGGAUUUAAAUAGUACUUGGCUUACCAUCUGCUGAUAAGGGAAAGUGAGAUGCUAAAUCAGAGUGGCAGGAAAGUCUAUUUCAGUAGAAGCUAUUUUGAUCUGAAAUACUGUAGGGCAAUCUUACAGAGUAUUUUAAUUGGGCUUAUAUUGAUGUGAGUUAGUAAAAGGGAGUAUAUUUGCUGGGAUGGUUCAACUUAUAUAAUCAUUGAAUGUAUCAGUUUAGAGAUGUGGGGCAAUGCAAAAUUUUAAUCCCAUUAAUUUUAGCCUUUUUUGCCUAAAAUAAUCAUUUGUGGGAAAAGCUUUUUGAUUCAUUCAUUUUAGAGCAGUGAAAUAUUUUAUAUCUCAUGCCAGAAAUUAGAACAUAAAAACAUCAAUUUUUCAGAUAAAUUCAUUCAAAAUUUAAAAAAACCAAUUUAUUCUUUUAAUAUGGUGGUCAUUUGUUGAGUAUUUUUAUUGUAAACUGCAUCUUGAAAAUCCAAGUUAACUUGGGGAGAUUAGAAGAAGAAAAAGAGAGUAUCUAUUUUCAUGAUGAUAUAAUGCUGGUGCAUAAUGCCAAAAAGUCUGUAAUCGUGGCAUAUUUAUAUUUCAGGUUAAAACUUGGACAGUGUAAAAUUAUCGAGGCAUUAAGGAUGCUAUGAACUGUAGAAGAAUCUGAAUCAUAUAUAAGUAUGUGCGUCUAUAUUGCACGCGUAUAAUUUUGAUUAACCCUUACACCAAGUUUAUUUUUGUUUUUCAAGUUAAUCUGUCAUUCUUUCAUACAACAUGUGUACGGCAUACCACUUUUGCUUGAAGUGUUACACCUCAACACAUGGUCUCCGCCUUCUGGGAGGAAUGUACAGUAACGGGUCCUCCUCUGUGUCCAGAAUUAUGUCAGGCAUCAUCUCAGUUAAUUCUCUGAACAACCCUGUGGUGCUGAACAUUUGCAACUCCACUGUAAAGAAGGCACAAAGGUCUAGAGAAGUUGAGUAAGUUGCCCCCAAAUAACACAGCUAGUUUAAUUAUGUUUAAAUAAAGGUUACGUAGCAAGUGCCCAUUUUGGCUUGGGCACUGUGCUGAGUGGUAAGUAGAAGACGAAAAAGACAAAGUCUAUGAGAUGACAGAAAUGUUAACGGAUGAUUUUUAAUGCAGAAAGUGCAGUAGCAGAGAAGGCGACCCUGAGUGUAGGCAGCUAUCUUGGCCUGGGAGGUCCUCAGAGACAUACUGGAGAACAUGGUGCCUGAGCUGAAUUCUCGUUUGUUGAAUGAAGAUGGAGCAAAAGGCCAAAGAACCACUGCAUGGGCCCAGUGCCAGAGUCAUGAACUCCUGUUGUUUACCCAGCGUGGCACCAGGCAUGCGGUUCAGUAAGGCCCUGCCACAUGUGGCUGUGGGCCCGUGGGCCCCGUGGGAUGCUGCUAGUCUGAACUGACAUGCGCACCAGAUUCCUAAGUGCAGGUGUGAAAAACAUCAGUGUUAAAACUAUCGCAUUAUGCAAUUUUCUAUUAAUUACAUUUUGAAAUGACAAUAUUUUAAAUAUAUUUUCUCCAGCAGAUAUACUUAACAAUUUUGCUUUGAUUUGGUAAAUCUGACUGACUGAUUUAACAAUUCAGAGAUGGUUUGGUGUUUUGGAAACUUUAGAAUUUCUUCAUGUUGUUGCUUCUGUUUAUAUUGUUCUGUUGGUGCCUUUGAGUUAUUGAAUUGACAGAUUUGGGGGGGCAUUGGCCUUAUUAAAUAAGUGAUUGGCACCACAUUAGUUUAUUUCCACAGGAAAAUAUGAAAGAAGUCCUGAAAUCAUACACAUAGUGCAUCAUUUCUUAGAAGUUUUCUUUUUUUUUUUUGUAAUUUGGAAAUUUUGCAUUCAAUUUCUUGCAGGUAGGUUUACAAUUUGUAAAAUAUUUAGGGCUAUUCUUUUUCUAGCCUGAGAACAUUACUCUUUCGAACUUAGAUAUUUUGUAAACUUUUUUUGCACAAGUAUAUGUUUUUCAGGACAUGAAGCUUCUGAAAUUUCUGUUGUAUUUCGCUUGGUACCAGCUUUUUUCUUCUUUAUCAAGGAAAUGACUCUGUUAGUUUUCUUUACUAAGGAGCUUAUGGGGGUCUAACUGAGAAAUCUAGAACAGUCUGUAACCCCAGGAUCUUACGGUGUGAUUGGCAAAACACAAGUCAGCGCUGCAGAUUCUAUGGAGAAGCUCGUCCUCCUUAGAUUAGGUGAUGCCACUUGCUACUGAACGAACCCUAUUCAGUUGACUUUGCCAGGUUCCACAAGCAGGUCUGUGCCUCAGACGCAGGAAGUUUUUCUCAAAAGCAGGUAUUAUUUUUAUUUUUAGAAAGACCACAGUUAGGUUUAGCAGUACAAUAUUAUCAUUGAUUUAUUAUAAACCACCCCAGAAUUACUGAUGAGUUAGUCAUGCCCUUUUUAUGUGUCAGAGAAGAGCAUUCUCCUGUCUCCUUCAGUGAGAAGGAAGCAGGUUGCCAUGUCAAUAUUUUACUGUUGCUGAUGGCAGAUGGCCCAAUCUCAGUGAACGCCUUUCUCAUUCUCCCCACUUUCUUUCCCAUCCCCAGUCUUCUUUUCCCUCCCUUCCCUUUAGCUAUUACAUUGAGUCAUUCUGUAACUACCCAAAAGCUCCCUUUGCAAAGGGAUGCUUUAAAACUCAGUAUGUGAGCAGAAUUAGAGCAUGGCCUCUUAGAACUAGAAGGUCAUUAUAUCCAACCUUCUAAUCUCUGCUCCAUCACGAACACUGAAAGCGGAGUCCUUUAACUCUACUCCACCGCCAUCCGGAAAGAGCAGCAGAAAGUACAGGAGUCAUAUCCACCCACACUGUGGAUGUUACAGUGAGGACAGAGUGGGGACAAUGAUCCCAUGAGAAGUCCGCCUCGGAAGUAAGAGGUUUCUGGUCUGUACUCUCCUCUUCUGCCCCUAUGAUGUAGGCAUCUUUCUUAGCAAGGCUACUUGCCUCAGGGAUUUAGAAGAUUGUAAGUUAUCAAACCAGUUAGAACUUUUAUGUCACUGUACCAAUGUACCAAAUUCUUUUUCUUGCAUUUACCUUGAAUACGUUUCUGAACAUAUAGGAAGACUUCAUCUUGGAUGAAACGUUAUAAUUAUAAUUAAAAACAAACACUCUUAACUAAGCAAAUUGUUUCCAUUUUAUCACCGUUACAGAGCAUGUGGUCAAAGAUGUCUUGUUCACAGAUUCUUCCAGGCUAGGUUCCUAGGAAUAGAAUUUCUUUGUCAAAGGACAUACACCUGAGAGUGUGGACAGGAAAUGCUGGAUUACUCUGCUGUUUCUAAUAUCAGCAAACAAUUUGGAAAAUAAUUGUGUCUGUUCAGAAUUUUGCUAGAUGAGAAUAGCAAUGGAGGUAGAAAUGAAGAAUCACCGUGUGGGAAAAAACGCCUAAACUAGGAAUUCUUGUGGUGACUUUUCCUGUUACUGUGCAUGUGUCAGUCCCUGGAUGGCAUUUCUUGGAGCCAUUUAUUUGCAUCACGUGGUAAAUCUUUUCCCGCCUCACUCUCUCUGUCUUUGGAACAACUGUAUUGUGGAUUUGAUGGAUACUUAGUGUCAGCCAGCUUUUCCUUUCAGUGGUGUAAAUUGCUCCAGUUGUUAAAUAUUCAGGAACAAAAUGUAAUUUUUUUUCAGAUGAGUAAGAGGUGCUGGCUGAUUUAAGAUAAAAGGUGGACACAUCCAUGCAGCUAACAUACGUAUGGUGUUGAAGUGGUUAUUACCUUCACCUCCUCAGAUGUCAAAGCCAUGGCAUUAUCGUUUUUCUCAAUUUUCCCCUCUAUUUUCCUUCUUAUUUCGUUCCUUUUUUUAGAACAACUUGAUGAAUUUAUGGGUACCAUUUUUAACCACCUAUCUAUCAAACACAGUUUGAUGUCUCACUAAAUCUGAGCAAACCCAAAGGGUCUGAAUAGCCCAGAUUUUACCAUAAGUUCUGUAGCUGUCUUACAUUUUUACAGAUAGUCAGUGGGUCACAUUGCCUUUACUUCUUGAAGAGUCAUCAUCCCUGUUUUGAAGAAUGAGUGGCAAAAGUGAUGACAUUCUGUUUCUUCUCACUGUUUUCUGAUUUCUGGAGCACUACCAUUCUGCACAUUUCCUCUGGCCUUAAGAAUGCCAGCUGGCUAUUUGGAAAAAAAAAAAAGAAGAAGAAGAAAGAAAGAAAUGCAAAA